rnacentral:lncRNA from 1 species
UCUCGUGACUAUCUUGCUAGUUUUGAAGCUCGGUUAGCUAAACUUGAGAUAGCUAUGGCGGAUACAAAAGAGAGGUUGGAUCGCACGGAGCAAACAGUAGAAGAGUACGUCGAGAAGGUCGAUACCUCGUUGGACACUUUCCAAGAAAGGAUUUAUGCUGCAGGGGCAGAGAUAGCCAACGAGAACUGCUUGUUUCAAGCCAAGGUGUAUCAAGCCUUGUCAGAUUUGAGGCAGGACAUUGAUGAAGCUAAGUCAAGCCUAGAGGCGUCCAAGGCUGCCGUAGAAGAAACCAGGGCCGACUGGGC